UGAGUUCCUUCAAGAACAAGAGCUGGUUCCGCUGCUGUUGCGGGAGAGGAACAGGACUCGUGUUCAAGAGAAGGACAGUUUCUUGCGUGACUCGUCGAGGACACCCGAACUAGCCCAGGGAUGGCUUUCAGCACGAGUACCCUUCGAGGUUUCUAGCUCGGGGCUCCUUGCAUUCAACACAGAAAUAAAACCAGUCAACCAGGCGAUACGCUUCACAAUCGACUGCACUUGUUCGAAGAUGUCAGAGAUCGCUGAGUUGGCAACACUGGGCGGAGCUCUGUGUGACCGGCAAUCCUGUGGCAAUGCUUUUCACCCGCCGACUGCAGAACGUUCGAUGGAAUAUAGUGAAAGGGUUCUUUGAAGAAGACGAAAAAAUAAGGGAUGUUUUGCAAGUUGUGACAUGCCGCCAGCCUUCGCACCGUUGGCGCACAGCUGCGUGGACUCAAGAGCAACAGUAGACCAAGUGACACAAGCAACAGAGAAGCCGAGCAGUGUUGCCAGAUCAUCGAGGUUGUGACUCUUCGGGGGAUUUCCAUGACAGAACAAUUUGAAUUCGUGGAGGCACAUGAGUCCAUGUUGCGCGGAGGUGACCGCGGCUGCAGAUGCUGCCAGCACGGGUCUUGCAGUCUCCACACCCGCUGGGACCCUCGUGCCUUUGUGCCCCAACUGGCAACAAU